AGGGAAUCUUCCACAAUGGUCGGAAGUCUGAUGGAGCAACGCCGCGUGAGUGAUGAAGGUUUUCGGAUCGUAAAACUCUGUUGUAAGGGAAGAACCAGUACGUCAGGCAAUGGACGUACCUUGACGGUACCUUAUUAGAAAGCCACGGCUAACUACGUGCCAGCAGCCGCGGUAAUACGAAGGGUGCAAGCGUUACUCGGAAUUACUGGGCGUAAAGCGUGCGUAGGUGGUGGUUUAAGUCCGUUGUGAAAGCCCUGGGCUCAACCUGGGAACUGCGGUGGAUACUGGAUCACUAGAGUGUGGCUGAGAGUAGUGGAAUUCCCGGUGUAGCAGUGAAAUGCGUAGAGAUCGGGAAGAACAUCAGUGGCGAAAGCGACUGCCUGGGCCAACACUGGCACUGAGGCACGAAAGCGUGGGGAGCAAACA
rnacentral:rRNA from 1 species